AGAAAUGAAAUCAAAAUAACAACCAUAUCCACCGUACCAGAUCGAAUUUCAAUUCCAAAUCCCCACGCUAGUAUUUUUCCACCAGAUCUCUGUCUAAUCUGGAUUAGAUACAAUCAUGCCCAGGUUCUGGUUCAUGCUGUUCCCGGCAAAGGAGUACAAGAUCGUAGUCGUUGGCCUGGAUAACGCCGGAAAAAGUAAAAACGACGACGCUUUACAAGUUACAUUUGGGAGAGGUGGUCACUACUCAUCCUACUGUUGGCAGUAACGUUGAGGAGCUAGUCUACAAAAAUAUACGAUUCGAGGAACUUCAUAGGUACGUACCAACCUCAGUUUGAUAGCACUUGUGGUGUUCAUGGGCCAUGAGUGUGUGCAAUAGUACAAUAUGCUCUGAAAGUGAAUUGAAACUUGAAGAUCUGCAGACACAUUCCUAUGAAUAUCUUGAACUUCAAGAACAGAUUUGUUGACAUGGCUUAACCUUUUGUGAACAUGGGUGUCCAUACUAUUAUCUGCCCCUUUCAAUCCUCUUGAGAAACACAAAUAAACGUAAAAUGUUUGCAAUUAAUUUAAUUCUUCAUGAAAUAUGGCUUUAAAAUGAUAUAAAGGAAAAUAAUAAUAAGUUAAUACCUCUUGUUUCUUGAAUUUUUUUCUUCGUUGUGCUUCAAUGUAAAUGUGAGAGGCUUUGUGAGACUUGAACAUGUAGUAUUUAUAGGGUAUUUCCCUCCCAAAUUUAGAUUCAAAAACACGUACUGCUGUCUAAUAUUUAUUUAUUAACUAUGCAGCAGUUUUCUGCAUCACAACUGCAUUAUAUAUAGAGAUAGAGAUUUUGAUUGCAUUA